rnacentral:lncRNA from 1 species
UGACUCUUAUUAGAUCCACGGAGAUCUGGAAAUUGAAAAAGAUAAAUCUCAAUAAGCACGAGGUAGUCUAACACAGCAGGAAUAUUAUAUCUAUCAAGUGGCACUGUGAGCUAAAAAAAGAAGUGAAAGAAAAAAAAUAUUCUUAAGCACAUAAAAGUUUCACAAGUCAAACAAAAACUGCCAAUAACUAUUGAAUUUAUCAUCUUAUUAAGUCAGAAAGGAGAAUCCACAUUUUGUCUGCAAUUCUACAUAGCUAUAAUAUAUGAGCUAGCGACAUUUUUUGCUUUUGACAAAACAUUAGAAAGAGCUAGUGGCAUUUGUGAAAAAUGUUAAGCAACAAAAGAGUAGCCGAAUAAACUUUAUUUCUUUUAAUAUGACAUUAGCUUUGCCUUUGCACGCUAUAAUAAAUACAGCAGAGAAUCAGAGUGUUAAGAUCAGACGGAUCUAGCUAACACUCGUUUCUCUUCACAACUCAAUGAACUACGCGUGAAAGAAGACAAGUAUGACUAAACUCUAUGGUGCUAUAAUGCAUUUGUUCCAAGAAACUUCUUGCCUGCAGAACACAUUCACAGCGUGAGGCACAAGCUGGAAGAUCUCUAUGAUUAAAAAUCUUAAUUCUUGCUUCUGACAUGUUCACCAUUUCCUUUAUUGCGGUACCACUUAAUCUAAUUAGAUAACCAAUAUGUCUUUCGUGCCAGGGCUCUAACAGGGAAUUCAGAUGGUUUGCCAAACAUUGAGUGUGCAUUCUUUUCCAGCUCCACCAUUCUUCCAAAUAUAAGAAGUAGUGCAGCUUGCACCUUGGAGCAUUGGUGUGGACUCUGCAAGAGGGGACAAAAAUUGAAUACAUAAUGAACAAACUGCACAAUAUGACUUCAAGAAUUAUAAUACAAGCUACAGUUUUCAAGAUUCACAUAGACAAAAAAAAUCCAUUGCAAAAUCUUUAGCAGUAUCUUAUCUAGCAAGCAGUUAAAAUGUGGGCACUAAAUGAGAGAACAGCUGCUCAUGCUCAAACCUCCAACAAGAUUCAUGGCGCAGAGUAGUCUAAACGAGAUUUGCUGGAAACCUUUAGUUUGAA